CCUCUCUCUCUCUCUCUCUCUUCCUCUUCACCCCCCCACUCCUGCUCCCUCAUUUAAUCAGAACAUCGAAAUUUUUUAGGCGACGAACAUCGGAAUGAUGGGCGGGGCAUACUUCAAUCGUUUAGGCUUGAAUCGAUGUCGACGCCAGUGAGGAAAAGACUGAUGAGGGAUUUCAAGAGGUUGCAGAAUGAUCCGCCGGUGGGAUUAGUGGAACCCCGCAGGAUAACAACAUCAUGUUGUGGAACGCCGUGAUCUUUGGAUAAUUUUACAUUUGAUGUCGAAUCCUUGGUUUGAUUUUAGAUUUUUAGGGUUUUCUGAUGAACUUUGGGUUUUGAUUUGCAAGCCUGAUGAUACUCUGUGGGAUGGAGCCAAAUCCGAGAAGCAAUCAAGAGCAAGAUCAACUCCUCCUUCAUCUUCAAUGGCAUCCUCCGCCUCCUCUGCUCCGCCACCGCCAUCGCCACCUCUGUCCGGCAGCGAAGAUAGUUUCCUUUACAGCUACAACAAUUAUAAGAGACAGAAGAUCAAAAUGGAAGUUACCUUCCCCUGAAAUCAAACGGAAAGAGUAAAGGUGGUUUUAUAAUCAUUUGAACAGUUAAUGUUAACAAGUUCUAGAUGG